rnacentral:rRNA from 1 species
GAUGAACGCUGGCGGCGUGCUUAACACAUGCAAGUCGAGCGAGAAACUACAUGCAGACACUUCGGUAGAAGCGAGUAGCGGAAAGCGGCGGACGGGUGAGUAACGCGUAGGCAACCUGCCCUUCACAGAGGUAUAGCCUCGGGAAACCGGGAUUAAAACCACAUAAAAUCAUAGGUUCGCAUGAACCAAAGGUCAAAGAUUUAUCGGUGAAGGAUGGGCCUGCGUCUGAUUAGCUGGUUGGUAGGGUAAAAGCCUACCAAGGCGACGAUCAGUAGCCGACCUGAGAGGGUGAUCGGCCACAUUGGAACUGAGACACGGUCCAAACUCCUACGGGAGGCAGCAGUGGGGGAUAUUGCACAAUGGGGGAAACCCUGAUGCAGCAACGCCGCGUGAGGUAUGAAGGCCUUUGGGUUGUAAGCCUCUGUCCUAGGGGAAGAAAAAAAUGACG